GGCCUUGUGGCCCAAUGGAUAAGGCGCCGGGACUACGGAUCAGGAGAUUCCAGGUUCGAGUCCUGGCAGGGUCG
rnacentral:tRNA from 1 species